ensembl:rRNA 5S_rRNA 5S ribosomal RNA
GUCUAUGGCCAUACCACUGUGAAUGCACCUGAUCUCCUCUGAUCUCAGAAGCUAAGCAGGGUUGGGCCUGGUUAGUACUUGGAUGGGAGGAUCUGUGUUCUGAUUGCUGAUUGCU